rnacentral:rRNA from 1 species
AGGUCCCAAGGGUUCGGCUGUUCGCCGAUUAAAGUGGCACGCGAGCUGGGUUCAGAACGUCGUGAGACAGUUCGGUCCCUAUCCGCUGUGGGCGUAGGAUACUUGAAAGGAGCUGUCCCUAGUACGAGAGGACCGGGAUGGACACACCUCUGGUGUUCCGGUUGUCACGCCAGUGGCAUUGCCGGGUAGCUACGUGUGGACGGGAUAACCGCUGAAAGCAUAUAAGCGGGAAGCCCCCCUUGAGAUUAGGUAUCCCUGGGCUUUAGAGCCCCUGAAGACCCCUCGUAGACGACGAGGUUGAUAGGCCGGGUGUGGAAGCGCAGCAAUGCGUGGAGCUAACCGGUACUAAUCGGUCGUGAGGCUUGAUCUUCUUUUU